GAAAAUAAUUUUUACAAUAGUAUCGGAUCAUAAUUUCAAGAACAGAUCUCUUAGGUGAUGUAUAUUAUGUUUAAAUAUAAUAGGAUUUUAGUAAUUAAGUUUUAUAUCGUUCCAAAGUACAAAACUGUUGUAUCUCAUGUGAGCUACAAUGAGAAACGUGGAUUCUUAACAAAGCAGAGGAAGAAAAGUUAGAUAUAUGGAAAAGAAAAAUACUUAGGAUACUAGGCGGUAAAAAGGACAGAGAGGUAUGGCUUAGGAGAACAAAUAAUGAAAUUAGGAAUCUGUUUGGAGAAGCAGAACUAAGCAAAAUAAUAAGAUCUAAAAGAAUAGAGUGGCUGGGUCUCAUAGAGAGAAUCCCAGAUUCUGGAGCAACGAAAAAAUAAUGGACAGGAAAAGAUGGUACAGAGAGGAGAGAAAUUCGAACUGGAAAACGAAAUCAAAAUAUAGAAAAGAGUGGAAGAUAAACGUGCCUCGACAGCACUGGACACAAAAACAAUCGUAUGAUACAUGAGUUGAAUAAAGGACUGUUACAGAAUCUAUUACAAUACAUAAAUUAUAUUAAUUAUAUUUACUGAAACAGCUUCGUAACUUUUAAGAAACUUUCUUGAUUUCUGUCGGGCAAUUGAGUGUCUCCUUGAGGUUAGUUUUCAGAUCAAACUGAUAGUAUACAAUACAGUAUUGUCUGCAGUCAGUGAGGAUGUUCUUAAGAGACAUAGGAACGCGACUUCGGCACAUAGGAUGACUUUCUGACGGCAUCAAAUAGCCGUGAGUAAAUUUUGUGUGGUUCUCUCCAGCUCAAAAGGUUUAGGGGCAGAGAAGUAGAAGGGUGGAUAUUAUGUAAUGCUCCAUAUAUCGCGCCAAGAUUCUUGAAUGAGGUUACUUUAAUUCAUUUCUCAAGAAAUUGAAGAUUUUGUCAUUUGAAAUCUUUUGUGUGUCCAAAAAAAUUGUACAAAUGACAAGCUUAUAAAAAGAAUGAUUGUAUUCUUGGGGUUUACGCGUCAAGCGAAUCGCAUUUUUGCCCCUGUGACGCGAGCGCCAUCUAGCGGUUAGAUACAACAAGGCGUCCAUAUUGUUACGUUUUUCGUAAACAAACUAGGGUGAUCAUAGCAUCAUAUUCAACAUUACUCCAAAUUUCGUUCUUCAGUCUUUCCAAAAGACUAGAUUGAUGGCAAGAAGUGUGAAGGAUACUACCAAGGACUAAUUACCCAUAUUGCUUUUUUUACAUAUACUCUUCACGGAUCACCAAUCCGCAUUCCCGAUGGAAACGUUCAACGUGAAUAUUUUGGGUUUUUCGCCACAGGAAAUAAUGAGACUGAGCAAGACUCCGUAAAAGACUGGAAAUAUCGAAAUGUCAAAGAUGAUCUGAGACCCUGAAUUUAUUAUAGAUGGCGCUCGCCUCGCCCUACCGGGGCCUUGUACACCCCAAUGAUAACUUCAGUAUUAUAUUAAUAAUUUAUAUUCAGUACUUCAACUUCCAUAACCAUUUCAAAUUUAAUCUUAUUAAUAUAGAAUUUACUCAGGCCGGUCCUGUUUGAUAUUUAUAUUUUUUGGAAAUGUGCCAAUCAACAGUAAUUUAUAAAGGAUAUUACAAGCUCGGCUGUGUACUGUGUAAACAUUUGUUUUGCUCAAUAUCUAAAAAUAAUUUUCAUGUGUUUGUAAACAAUACAUGGAAAAUUGUCACAUAGGAUUAUUGCCUUAUGUAGCAAGGAAAAACUACCCACUUUUUCCUAGAUUUUCAAUACAAAUUUGUAUAACAUUUUUCAAUUAAACUAAUAAUAAUUAAGAUAUGGAAUAAUUUUGUACCAAUUAUAUUACCAUAUAUUAUAUAUGGAAAGGGAUAUGUCCCUUGUGUUCCCUCAGUGAUUUAUAACCUUGAAACUUGAUAAUACACAGUUUACUACUAUUUUUGUUCUGGUCCUUCGAGCCUCCCAUAGGUAGCUGGUUCAUAUCUAACUCAAAGGACCAGGCACUGCAAUUGUGAUUGUUGGUAUAAUGGUAGUAAACAAUGUGUUCAACAUUUUUUCAAUUGUACAAUCUUGAAAAAUAUCCUUAGUCAGCUUAAAAUUUUCUCCAAAAUAAUUACUUAUAAAAAGUAGUUACCUAAAU